rnacentral:rRNA from 1 species
GAUGAACGCUGGCGGCGUGCCUAACACAUGCAAGUCGAGCGAUUUACUUCGGUAAAGAGCGGCGGACGGGUGAGUAACGCGUGGGUAACCUGCCCUGUACACACGGAUAACAUACCGAAAGGUAUGCUAAUACGAGAUAAUAUGCUUUUAUCGCAUGGUAGAAGUAUCAAAGCUUUUGCGGUACAGGAUGGACCCGCGUCUGAUUAGCUAGUUGGUAAGGUAACGGCUUACCAAGGCGACGAUCAGUAGCCGACCUGAGAGGGUGAUCGGCCACAUUGGAACUGAGACACGGUCCAAACUCCUACGGGAGGCAGCAGUGGGGAAUAUUGCACAAUGGGCGAAAGCCUGAUGCAGCAACGCCGCGUGAGCGAUGAAGGCCUUCGGGUCGUAAAGCUCUGUCCUCAAGGAAGAUAAUGACGGUACUUGAGGAGGAAGCCCCGGCUAACUACGUGCCAGCAGCCGCGGUAAUACGUAGGGGGCUAGCGUUAUCCGGAAUUACUGGGCGUAAAGGGUGCGUAGGUGGUUUCUUAAGUCAGAGGUGAAAGGCUACGGCUCAACCGUAGUAAGCCUUUGAAACUGGGAAACUUGAGUGCAGGAGAGGAGAGUGGAAUUCCUAGUGUAGCGGUGAAAUGCGUAGAUAUUAGGAGGAACACCAGUUGCGAAGGCGGCUCUC